rnacentral:rRNA from 1 species
UACGUAGGGGGCGAGCGUUGUCCGGAUUUAUUGGGCGUAAAGAGCGUGUAGGCGGCUUGGUAGGUCCGCUGUGAAAACUCGGGGCUCAACCCCGAGAGGUCGGUGGAAACCAUCUGGCUAGAGUCCGGAAGAGGAGAGUGGAAUUCCCGGUGUAGCGGUGAAAUGCGCAGAUAUCAGGAGGAACACCAAUUGCGAAGGCAGCUCGCUGGGACGUUACUGACGCUGAGACGCGAAAGCGUGGGGAGCAAACAGG